CCCCUAGAUGUUCUGGGCUGCACGCGCGCUACACUGAAGCUAUCAACACGUUUUCCCUCCCUGAGAAGGGCGGGUAACCUUUUGAAUCAGCUUCGUGGUAGGGAUCGGGGCUUGCAAUUGUUCCCCGUGAACCAGGAAUUCCUAGUAGACGCGAGUCAUAAGCUCGCAUCGAUUAAGUCCCUGCCCUUUGUACACACCGCCCGUCGCUACUACCGAUUGAACGUUUUAGUGAGGCAUUUGGACCGACGCAUCUCAGUUUAACCGCUGGUUUGUGUUGGAAAGACUUCCAAACUUGAGCGUUUAGAGGAAGUAAAAGUCGUAACA
rnacentral:rRNA from 1 species